GCAGAUAGUGCAGCUGCCCGGAGCCAGGGAUGCCUGAGCAGGAGCGGCCGAGUUGCCGGUGACUUUAUGAAGCACUUUCCACCUUCCUCGGGCACCAAAACAGGGAUUCUGCACCUGCUUCAGGGACAGUCUGGCACAGCCUCUGCUCUGCCUCCGGGGACGAGGACCUAGAGCAAAUAACCAUUUUCAAAUUGGAUCUUGGAAAACUUACCAACAAGUCCAUGAAGGAAACUGAAGGCAAAUUGAUCUGUAUCUUCAAUGGCAAGUCCACAGAAGUUGAGGAAACAUGUUAUGUCUCCAAAUAUGGCAAGAACAGGGCCGGGACUCUGGCAGAGAAGUGGACAGGGGUCCAGGCGUGUUCUGCUGUGUGACGAGCAGGCGGACUUCGUAGCUGUCGCAGACCUCGGAAACGGGCUUUGCGCGAGGCCAGACAAGGAUCCAGACACUUUGUGUUUCGUGGACAUCUCACUUCUCAUUUUCCAUAGACUUGGAAUAUCUGUUUUAUUUUUUAAGAAUCCAUUUAUCUAUAUGUUGGUGUAUAUAGAUUGGAUUGAGGGUAGAAGAAGAAAAGCCGUAGAUAAUGAAAUUAAAGUAGUAUAAUAAUGUAUUGCCCAUAUAUCAAUAUUGGUAACAAGUAUUGGUAAAUUCCUCAUCAUAUGUUAAGUAUCUCUCACAUAAAUCCGACAGAACCUGAACUUUGUUACAUUUGUGUAGGAUAUGCAUUCAAUAACAGGAAGAUAUAUUGAAAAAAAUACAAUGUUAAGGUCUGAUGUAUAUUUCUACAGGUAAAUCUUUCUUCUAUAGUCACAUCUUGUUUUGCCCUUAUCCAUUUCAAAUAUUGAAAAAUAAGCUAUUUCUUUGAAGAAAAGGAGGAGAGAGAGAAGGAAGGAGAAAUAGCCAUAGGUUUAAGAGUUAGAUAAACUUAUUUAUUGCAAAGUAUAAAGCUUUCAAUACAUAGUCCCAGAGAAAAAUAAUGACAAAAAUCUAUUAAGCAUCCUUGUUCUUCAGAAAAAAAAAAAAAAGAUUGGACAUUUAUGUUUUAUGACAUUUUUAGAUCAAAUGUAUUUGCCAGUGGCACUCUGGGAGACGGGAGGGAAGGGCCAGGUGGGGACGUUGACUUGCCACGCGUGCUCGUGUGAUAACACUGAUCCUACGGAAAUGGGAGUUCUAGAUUCUUGAAUGAGUUUGUUAAAAAACAAAAAAAAUGAAGAGAGAAAAACAGAGUAGGCAGUAAGAAUGUAUUGUUGUCAUGAAACAUUGUAAGUAUGUGUGUUGCAAUGUAUUGUUACAUUGUUGUAAUGAGACAUUAUAAAGCUCUAGGUGACAUCUCUGAACUCAAGCAACAUAAAAAUAAACUCAUAAAAUGAAUCAAAAAAUAGAGCAACAGAGCAAUAAUUACAGUCUAAAGUGUUGAGAAGAGACUUUUAGCUUGACCCAUGAACUUCACUGAGCACCCGACAGAGGAGGAAGUGAUGAUUUGACGUAGCCCCAGAUGACGCAGUAACUCCUGGCUCUGUCUUUACAUUUUCAUGGUAUUUUAGGCAAGUCACUUACAUUUUCUAAGUCACCAUUUCCUCUUUUACAAACUAUAGUGACUCAAUUAGACCAAGUAGUGAAAAUUAAAAAAAAAGAAAACUAGAAAUUUGAGUACUAAUAUAUUGUGAUAGGUAGCAUCAUCUUAGGUAGAAUAUGUUUUACAAUAAAAUGAAUAGAAUUAGGUUGAAUA